ACGCCUCCCCUAAAUUAGCUGUUAACUCCUCCCCUAAGUUAGCUGAUAACUCCUCCCCUAAGUUAGCUGAUGACUCCUUCCCUAAAUUAGCUGAUGACUCCUCCCCUAAAUUUGCUGAUAACUCCUCCCCUAAAUUAGCUGAUAACUCCUCCCCUAAAUUAGCUGAUAACUCCUCCCCUUAGUUAGAUGAUAACUCCUCUCCUACAUUAGCUGAUAACUCCUCCCCUAAAUUAGCUGAUAACGCCUCCCCUAAAUUAGCUGUUAACUCCUCCCCUAAAUUAGCUGAUAACGCCUCCC